ensembl:lncRNA
CCUGCAUGGGCAUCUUCCCCACAGCUGCAACUGUCCCUCUGCCGGCCCUGCUGCUGCCUUCUGGAAUGUGGGCCCCAGGAGAGGAAGCCUGUCCCCGGGCACCUGCAGAAGCAGCUCUUCCUCUGGGCUGCUGUGGGCUGCUGGGCUCCAGGGUCCUGCCCCAGCACUCAGGCCACCUCCUCUCAGUGACUUAAGAGUUUGAACUGGAUCUGAAGACCAACUACACUGUAAAGCAUUCAAAAGAAGAUGACAUUAAAGAGAAGACUUCCAAGAGCAUAGAAUUACACUACUAAGGUAAGCAUUUUUAGAAACAGAUAUUAAGUUGGAAAUAUCCUAAGAAGAUUGAAUUAAAAUGCAAUAUUCCCACAUCUUGGCCGUAUUAAGUAAGUCAUGUCGGCCACUGCAAAAACAAACCCCAAAUGUCCAUGGCUUAACAUAAUAAAGGUUUAUUUCCUCUUCAAGUCUCAGGUCCAUGGGGCGUCCCAUGGCCGCCUCCCACAUGGUCAUUCAGGGACCCAGGUUCCUUCCAUCUACUGGUUCUGCCGUCUUCUAGGGCCUUAGAGCCUUUGCUUCUGCCAGAGGAAGGGACAAGGGGGACCCUGGGAGGAGAGGUUUUGGGGACCAGCCUGGAAAUGGUGCCCUCACUUCUGCUCGGAUGACCUUGGGCAGCACAAUCACAGGUCUCCACCCAACAGCCUGGUCGGGUGGUUGGGAAAUGCGGUCUAGCCAUAGGUCCAGCCUUCUCUGCCACAAUGGCAUUUAAGACAUAAAUAAAUAAAACCCAGCUGGAAUGAGUGAAAAAAGAAAUUGCCGACACCUGUGGUGUCCCCUCUGCGCCAGACUUUGUCCUUAAUCUGUAGAUACCCAUCCUCACUAUAGCCCUGUUUAGACACCAGUAUCAGCACUACUUUCAGAAGCAGGAAAUUGAAACCAGGAGAGGUUCAUUAAGUUGCUGAAGAAGGGAGUCUACUGGCCAGGCCCUGUGGCUCAUGCCUAUAAUCCUAGCACUUUGGGAGGCUGAGGUGAGAGGACUGCUGGAAGGCCAGGAGCUCGAGACCAGCAUGGGCAACACAGCAAGACCUCAUAUGGAUUAAAAAAAAAAAAACAACAGGCCAGGCACGGUGGCUCAAGCCUGUAAUCCCAGCAUUUUGGGAGGCUGAGACGGGAGGAUCACGAGGUCAGGAGAUUGAGACCAUCCUGGCGAACAUGGUGAAACCCCGCCUUUACUAAAAAAUACAAGAAAACUAGCCAGGCGAGGUGGCGGGCGCCUGUAGUCCCAGCUACUUGGGAGGCUGAGGCAGGAGAAUGGCGUGAACCCGGGAGGCUGAGCUUACAGUGAGCUGAGAUCCGGCCACUGCACUCCAGCCUGGGCUACAGAGCGAGACUCCGUCUCAAAAACAAAAAAAACAAAAAACAAACAAACAAAAAACAAAAAACAACAAACAAACAAACGAAAAAAGGAAAGAGAAGGAAGAAAGAAAGUUUAAAGAAAGAAAGGGUCCAAAGUGGGCUGAUUUUUAGGGAAUGGAAGGAAAGGAGGGAGGGAGGGAGAGAGGGAGGGAGGGAGGAAGGAAGGAAGGAAGGAAGGAAGGAAGGAAGGAAGGAAGGAAGGAAGGAAGGAAGGGAAAAAGAAACAGUCAAAAGUGGGCUGAUUUUUAGGAGUCCUGCACACUUAUUCAUUAUUUUGAUUUAAGCCAACAGUCAUUCUGAGCUCACACUGUGGUGUGCCAGGCGCUGUUGUGUAGGGUGGUGCAGGGUGAUUGGCUCCCCCAAGCAUAGCCAUCGGGUGUGACCCAGGAGUUAAGAGGGGGUGACUGUUGUCUCCCAUGUCCUCCAGAUUCUUCUUAUGGCCUCUAUUCGCCUCACAAACCUAAGGAUGUGCACCGAUGCCUUUAAGAAAAAAAGUGCAUUGUUAUUGGAAAGACAAAAUUGGCCUGCAGGUUUCCUAUGACCCACCACGGGUGUUUGUAUAUAAAACAGAGCACGGGCCUGGGGGGUGGCCAGGGGCUGGGCUGCACACAGAGGCCCACUGUCAGCCAGGGCUGAGGCUCCAGUUUCAGGACUGAGUCUCUGGCACAGAGUGGAUGGAGACUGGGCGGGAGGACAUGGCUCCUAUGUGACAUAGCUGUGGCAUCUUGGCUGAAUUUCAGCCAGACUCCAAGUCACGCAGGCCUAGAGAAUCAAGGCUGCAAGGAACCCUGGAUAUUCAGGCCUGUGGUCUUCAAACUUGCCACACCAAACCCUCUUUGAAGGAAACAGAAUGGAGCAGCACAUUCAGAACCAAGAGCUGCUCUGAAGGGCCAGAUUGGCAUGGGCGGAGCUGAGGACCCAGGGCUGCGUGGGCCACGGUGGGAAAGCUCAGAGCUGCUCUAACCUCUUCUGCUGCAGCUGCUGGGGAAAUUGAGGUCCACAGAAAGGAAGCAACAUGCCUAAGGGGACCCAGUGACUUGGUGGCCCAUCAGGCUAAGAAGGAACCCAUCAGAUGUCACUGGAAGUAGUGGGUCCCAGCUUACCCUUACUUUGCUUUUUUUUUUUUUUUUUUUUGAGACAGAGUCUUACUCUGUCACCCAGGCUGGAGUGCAGUGGUGCAAUCUCAGCUCACUGCAACCUCUGCCUCCUGAGUUCAAGCAAUUCUCCUGCCUCAGCCUCCUGAAUAGCCAGGACUACAGGCGCACGCCACCAUGCCCGGCUAAUUUUUGUGUUUUUAGUAGUGACAGGGUUUCACCAUGUUGGCCAGGCUGGUCUCAAACUCUUGACCUCGUGAUCUGCCCACCUCGGCCUCCCAAAGUGCUGGGAUUAUAAGCGUGAGCCACUGUGCCCAGCCUUUUUUUUAAAAAAAAAAAUUUAAGACAGAGUCUCACUCUGUCACCCAGGCUGCAGUGCCAUGGCACAACUUGGCUCACUGCAACCUUUGCCUCCUGGGUUCAAGUAAUUCUCCUGCCUCAGCUGCCCAAGUGGCUGGGACUAUAGGCAUGUGCCACCAUGCCUGGCACAUUUUUGUAUUUUUUGUAGAGCUGGAGUUUCACCAUGUUGCCAGGCUGGUCUUGAACUCCUGGACUCAAGUAAUCUGUCCACCUCAGCCUCCCAAAGUGCUGGGACUAUAGGUGCGAGUCGCUGCGUCUGGCCCUUACCCAUAGUUCUGUCUAACUUGGCCAUAAAAUGCGGGUUCCCACCAUUCCCUCCUCAAGUUCACUAAUUUGCUAUUAUGGUUCACAGAACUCAGAGAAGCUUAGAUUUACUAGUUGAUCCUCUGAUAAAGGGUAUGAUAAUGGACACAGAUCACAGCCAGAUUUUAAAAAGUACAUAAAGCAAGGCCCAGAAUGGUCCCGAGGGCAGGAUCUUCUGUCCCCCUGGAGUUGAUGCUCACCAACCCAAAAGCU